rnacentral:rRNA from 1 species
UACGGGGGGGGCAAGCGUUGUUCGGAAUUACUGGGCGUAAAGGGCUCGUAGGUGGCCAACUAAGUCAGACGUGAAAUCCCUCGGCUUAACCGGGGAACUGCGUCUGAUACUGGAUGGCUUGAGUUUGGGAGAGGGAUGCGGAAUUCCAGGUGUAGCGGUGAAAUGCGUAGAUAUCUGGAGGAACACCGGUGGCGAAGGCGGCAUCCUGGACCAACGCUGACGCUGAGUGAGCGAAAGCCAGGGGAGCAAACGGG